CCCCUACUUUACAUACCUCGCUCUCCCCUACUUUACAUACCUCGCUCUCCCCCACCACUGCUGCUUUUUUUGGGCAAACUGUUAAAUUACCUUUUCGAGCUGUCUCCCAUAGCGACUUUUGUAACCCUAAUCCCAGUAUUGUUCAGCGAAUAGUUCAACAUCUUUCAUUGAAUUACAGUCGUAUAAUGACAUACAGUAUAUUCACUAUCGAGAAUGUUUCGACGCAUUUUAGAUAGCGAUAGGCAGCAUAGUCAGAUAUACAAGCGCCUGUCAAUCGACUACACAGGGAGCAAGUUGAGCGAGCCCCACCUGGACAGUGAAUCGACACUCGGCUGCCUUGAUGAGGAACGCUUCGAGCCUAGACUGUCGAUGCUCCCGGUGUUCUCCAUGGUAAAUCUUGGUCAAAUCACAGAUCCCUCAGAACUAUACAGGCCAGCCAACACAGAUUUCUGGAAAAAAGAAGACAGAAGAGCUUGUUUGGGUAGUUGGAGAGCUCCAGGUUCUUGCAGAGGAGGUAGCAAAAAUGAGAGACUGAGAAUGCGUGCAUCCAGUUGUGAUAUGGAGGAUCCCUGUAGCCUCUCUUCACCAUCAGA